GCCAGACUGCCUUACCUCUUCAUAAGCCAUCAACACAAGCUCAGGAUGGGUGGUACUACAGCAGCUUUAGUAUUACCAUUCUAGUUCUCCAACUCCAUCUCAGCCUAUAUUGGCACAUCAGGCAGCCUCAAAAGAUCCUCAGCCUUAUGAAAUUCAGUCACCGAUGUUUAAGGCAGAGGAGAAAACCUUUGGUCUUCUGCAGUCACCUUCUUCUCUCUUGCAUGCCAGGGAAUACU